GCCGCCAAGCAGAAGGUGUUUCCCCUCUCAUCAUGCCCAUCGUCGACCGCUGGCCUCCACCACUGCUCCUUUCCCUCUCCCCUUCGUGACACCGACGACGACCACUACUCCUUUCCCUCACCUUCCUCUCGACGACAUGGCCACAGUUGUUUCCCUAUCCACGCCGACGACGACACUCUUUUUCCUCCUCCUCGCAGUGUUGGCCGCACCUCCUCCUUCAUCUCCUGUGUCACCGUCGCCGCCGACAGGAACACAGCGUCACGGCUGCUUCCUUCCCUCACCAGCGACGGGUCGUCUCCUCCUUCGAGUUCCCUCGACCGUAGCCCAUGAGCCAGCACAACCGCCUGUCCCUCGUUCUCCUCGCGACGCUGCCGUCGGACAGACUGGCCCCUAUUCUCCGCCUUCUCUUCCUCGCAACGCCCCCCCUCGGACAGAUCGGCCGCCACUCAUUUUCCUCCUCGCCACGCUUCUGUCGUUGCCAGCCUCAUCAAAGCCAGCACUAGAAGAGGAGGGCUGCGCUUUUACUUCUAGGGGUGUUUCUUCCGCCGCCAACACAGCCGCCACACUGCUCCCCCUCUCGCCGGAGACCUUGUACGUCCGUGGAGACCCUAAUCUCCGGCUGUGCCCUAACACGAAGCCAAUUGUUACGACCGUUGUCGCCGAUCGGACCGUACCUCGUUUUCGUCGUGUUCGGGCGUUUAGGUCGCUGUGUUCUGGCCUUCGAGCAGAGUUUACGUUUCGACCUCCGCCUUGCUCUGAUUUGUCGUGUCUAGACUUGGUACUGUUACUACUAUUCGACUUGUGUGAUAUUAUCCCGGCCUAUGUGCCGAUAUAUUAUCUCGGUCUACGUACCGUUAGUACCUCUCGGCCUACGUGUCGUUGACAUAUCCCUAUGUGCUUUGUAUCCCGGCCUGCGUGCCGGUGUCGUAUCCUGGUCUGCGUGCCAGUGACUCAUCCUGGUCUGCGUGUCACUAUUAUUUCCCGACCUGCAGUUUGUCUUCUGGAUACAGACCGCAUUCGGCUCCGUGCCUCCAGACCCGACUUCACAUUCGACUCCCGUUCGGCUACUCUUCCAGGUCCGAACCACUCAAGCAGCGUCCCAUCCGAGGGCGCCCCCUGGGCCAGGGUAUGUUCCUCGUUCAUAUUUUAUAUGCAUUUUCAUUAUUUCAUGACUUAGUCUUGUACUCAUAUAUUCGUUGGAUCUGCCUCGAGCAUCGGGGUACCGGGAGCCGGGUCAACCCGGUCGCUGGCUACUGGUAGCGUUGACCAGAGGACUUUUGAAGACUUGGUCAACACGGAAAUCAUCUCAGUACACCCCCCUCCGAGACGUCGUGACUUCGUCAAUAUUCUCACCACCUCAUCCGACGGUCCAUCCGACUCAACUUUCGGACGGGAUCAAUAUCCAUUUGAACUGAUGUCUUUAAAUCUAAUAACGAAGGCAUAACAAGAAAGCAUUUAAACAAAGAGGUCAUGGGCUGCAGGAGUGAAAAAUAAAAGGAACGGACAAACGACAACGAAUCAGCAACGCUUCCUCCAGCUCCAUAGACACCGUUACAAAGGAAACAGGGGAGGUUGACAACGGUUUGUCUUGAAAAGUCAGCAUUGAACACCCUUCCGACAGCGCAGGGCGCCUGCAUCAACAGUGACGGAGCCAACCAUGGAGGAAGACUUUGCUCCAAGGCUUGACGCCUUCGCAUAGCUCGCAGAGGCUCCAGCCCCGGAGGGGGUGAAGUAGGCUCCAUUCAGCAGCAUGUCGCCCUCUGAUCUCCAGUUCCAACUCUUCCACACACUUGAAUCUGUAUCAACUCUCUUGGUUACCUGUUUGACGCGAAUCCGUGGACAAUUAGUUAGAGUCAAAAUCAAAUUGAAUCAAAUGUUGCAGUGUCAUUCGAUA